GGGGAUGUAGCUCAGUGGUAGUGUUUGCCUAGCAUGUAGAUAUCCUGGGUUUGAUCCCCAUCAUCCCUC
rnacentral:tRNA from 1 species